AUCCAGCUGACGAAUCCCAAAUAAGACGAAAAAUGCGUCCUGGAU
rnacentral:hammerhead_ribozyme from 1 species